UUAAGUUUUGUGAAUACGCCCGUUAGAGAUCUUCGGUUCAUAAAAAAUCUGUUCAUCAAAAUUGUCUAGCAGAUUUCUAAAAAUUCAAUUAAAUUUUUCACCGCAAUAAUUGGUUUACCAAAACAUUCCCAGCAAAACCUUGAUCUACUAGCUGCUAAAAUAUAACGAGUUAUCAACAGUAAUACCAACUGUGUUAGCGGCAAUACAAAUGUCAUUACAUACAACAUUCAACGAAGUUCAAGAGUAAGCACUUAUGGGUCCAAACCAUUAAAUCGAGAGAUCGGUCUAUAUGGCAGCUAUAUCCAAAUCUGAACCGAUCUGGGCAAAAUUGACGAAAAAUGUCGAAAUGCCCAACACAACUCUCUGCACCAAAUUUCAGCAAAAUCGGAUAACAAAUGUGGCUUUUAUGGGUCUAAGACCCUAAAUCGGAGGAUCGGUCUAUGUGGCAGCUAUAUCCAAAUCCGGACCGAUCUGAGCCAAAUUGACGAAGGAUGUCGAAGGGUCUAACACAACUCACUGUCCCAAACUUCGGCGACAUCGGACAAUAAAUGCGCCUUUUAUGGCCCCACAAUCUAAAACCGAGAGAUCGGUCUAUAUGGCAGCUAUAUCCAAAUCUGGACCGAUCUGUGCCAUAAUGCAGAAGUAUGUCAAGAGGCUUAACUCAACUCACUGUCCCAAAUUUCGGCGACAUGGGAUAAUAAAUGCGCCUUUUAUGGGCCUAAGACCCCAAAUCGGAGGAUCGGUCAAUAUGGCAGCUAUAUCCAAAUCUGGACCGAUCUGGGCCAAAUUGACGAAGGAUGUCGAAGGGCCUAACACAACUCACUCUCCCAAAUUUCAGCAAAAUCUUCUAAUAAAUGCGCCUUUCAUGGGACCAAAAUCCUUAAAUCGAGAGAUCGGUAUA